rnacentral:lncRNA from 1 species
UAUGUAAGGUUCUUUAGGAAUUGAUUUUAAUAACCGGUACGUGUUCAUGUUCAGGUUCUGGAGUUUGGACGAGGGUUAAAGUUAUAAUUGCGUAGAUUCACUACGUGUUAAGGGAGUCGUUGUCUUUGGAUGGAGAUGCGUCUUGACGAUGAAAGGCUGUACCAGAAGUAGCGGGAUAUCGAAAAGUAAAUGCUAUACCGGAGCCUUUGGAUGACGAUGCGUUUUGAUGAUUAGGCAGUCAUUGUAUUUCGAUGGCAAAGCAUCUUGAGAAUGCAAACAGUCGAUGCCUAUAAUAACCCAAUU